AGGCAUGCAACCUUUCUUUGAGCCUAGUCAUAGAAUUAGAAGCACUUCGUCCUGUAUGUCCCUGCGAGGUGGUCUGAGCUACUUAGGCUGCAGAGCACGACUCUAAGGGCACAGCGGAGUCCUUCUCCUCUCGCGACUCCUCUCAUUACGUCGCUACUCUCAUUAUUGCUCUCAGAUAACUCUUAUGCGCCACUCUGCUUAAUAGUUAGGAUAAUUAGACUUGUAAAGAUC